UGUAAUGUUGUAACUCUUUGUCUUAUUAAAAACUUUUUAUGAUUAAUAUUUUUAUUAUUAUUAGAUGAUAAAUCAUGAAUAGUACUUUACGUGUGGCUAGGUUUGUUUAAGUUUUUUUAUAAAUUUUUCAAAUAAGACGAAUUGUCAAAGCGUUGGACACAGAAAUCAA
rnacentral:pre_miRNA from 1 species